rnacentral:rRNA from 1 species
AUGCUUCAUGCGACAUGGAUACCAGCUUAUUUCAUGAACAUUCCACUAGCUGGUCUUCUUAGGACAACUUCGAUUUCAGAGAGUGCAAACUCGUUUUUUAAGCGCUUCAUCUGUCGAAAGCUCACAUUUGUUGAAUUUUGGCUAAGGUUUUACACUGCUGUGAAAUGUCAGAGGCAGAAUGAGUUGAUUGCUGAUAACACAAGCCAAUACACAACAACUGAAUUGUUAACAUCAUGGGAUAUAGAGAGACAAGCUAGGGCCUUAUUCACACAUGAGAUCUUUGAAUUGUUCCAGGCUCAGGUGCUUGCUGCGAGAGAUGAAUGUGAUGUUAAGGAGACGAUAAAUGGUGAGGGGAUUAAAAUCAUCUCUGUUAGCGAUCAAUAUAAGAAGAUUAGACAAGUUUGUUAUGACACGACAACCAUGAUUGCUAAAUGUUCUUGUAAGCUUUUUGAGUCAACAGGAAUUAUAUGCCACCAUAUUAUCCGAGUAUUGAGGGGUGCCAAGAUAAAUGAAUUACCGAGCUCAUGUGUUCUUAAGCGGUGGCAGAAAAAUUGCAAAAGGGACAUUGUAUUGGACGGGGAAGGAAACGUGCUUGAAGAGAAUUUCAUUGACCAAGUAGACAUGGCCGUGAAAAGGAAGAUAGCUGUUGUCAGGAACACGCUAGAAGAUCUUAUACAUAAUGCUAAAGGGUCCAUGGAGGGAAUUGAAUUGCUCCACACUAGUUUGUGGAAUGUUGAGUUGGGUUUAACCCAGGUCGUACCGGACAUAGCAUGUAGCACACAAGAAAACCAGGAGUCGUUUAUUGGGAGCGCCAUUCCAAAGCAUGUUACCAUCCUCACACCUAUUGAUGUCAAUGGAAGGGGCACAUGCUCUAGAAUAAAGGGACACAGGGAUGGUGUGAAGGGUGGAUCUGGUGAGAAGAGCAGAAGGCUUGGAAUCCAUCAAAAAGUUGUGCGCAAAUGCAGCAUUUGUAAGGAACUGGUGUUCCAUGAUGCAAGAACAUGCUCCAAGAAACAAACGGCACAACAGUAG